rnacentral:rRNA from 1 species
AUUGAACGCUAGCGGCAGGCCUUACACAUGCAAGUCGAACGAGUGGCGGACGGGUAAGUAAUGUAUCGGAACGUGCCUAGUAGCGGGGGCUAACUACUUGAAACAGUGGCUAAUACCGCAUACCAUCGGCUAUGCCGAUAUAGGAUUAGCUAGUUGGGGGGGUAAAGGCUCACCAAGGCGACGAUCCGUAGCUGGUUUGAGAGGACGACCAGCCACACUGGAACUGAGACACGGCCCAGACUCCUACGGGAGGCAGCAGUGGGGAAUUGUGGACAAUGGGGGAAAGCCUGAUCCAGCCAUCCCGCGUGUAUGAGAAGGCCUUCGGGUUGUAAAGUACUUUAAGCGGGGAGGCGUUAUCUGCAGAAUAAGCACCGGCUAACUACGUGCCAGCAGCCGCGGUAAUAC